CGAACGGGUGAGUAAUGCGUGACCAACCUGCCCCAUGCUCCAGAAUAGCUCUUGGAAACGGGUGGUAAUGCUGGAUGCUCCAACUUGACGCAUGUCUUGUUGGGAAAGUGUUUAGUGGCAUGGGAUGGGGUCGCGUCCUAUCAGCUUGUAGGCGGGGUAAUGGCCCACCUAGGCUUCGACGGGUAGCCGGCCUGAGAGGGCGGACGGCCACAUUGGGACUGAGAUACGGCCCAGACUCCUACGGGAGGCACAGGC
rnacentral:rRNA from 1 species